rnacentral:lncRNA from 1 species
UGAUGGCGGUGAGGGUAAUGUCAUCGAGGUCAUCGGGUGGCAUACAUCCUCAUGAACUAAAGUGGGUGCACUAUAAGUGCAUCAGUGGCUCUCGCCUAUGAACUCACUUCUACUGAAAUGAAUGAGGACAAGUUGGGCAGAGCAGGUGUCCCAGAAGUAGACGCAUGCCACGAGGUGCAAUCAACACCUUGGUCGGCCUAAUGUGCAUGGGUCGAAGGGUGACC